CCAACCUCCGUAUUUUUCGUCCCUAAUAACAAACUCGCUUUCCCAUUACAAGUAUCUGAAAUUCCACAACAUGUCCCUCCCCUUGCGUAACCCUCCAAACCCUAGUCGCCACCCCGCGCUGCCGUUCGCCUCACCACAAUAUCUAUCCGAGUGGCUCAGGUCAUGGCUACCCUAUGAUUCAUUCGCUUCCUGGGGCGUCAAGUCAGGGACUAAGAAUGUUCAUAACCUCUGGCUCGAAAUUGCUGAAGGGGAGACGUCUUUAGCUGAUUCCACCACGCCGGUUCGGAAGGUUGAGGUUGUGAUAGUUCGCAUCAUCCGAAAUGACAAUAAAAUGCUCAUCGAAUCGCAUCAGGAGCUUUCAAACGGCGCCGUCAGGUACCGAUCCCGCCCCUUAUCUGAGAAAAUGAAGCCUGGAGAAUAUGUCGAGGCCGCUGUUUUUCGAGCAGUGAAAGUGGAGCUGGGCUCCAUCAUAAAGUCUACGGCUUGUGGAAACUCUAAUUUGGGGAAUCUUGAUAAUGAUCAUGAUUCUAACAAUAUCAGUGGCAUCAUAAAAAUUUUGCCUGGAUCAUAAUUAAAGAAGGUGGAGGAGAGGGUUUCGGCCUCGUAUCCUGGUCUACCAGCUUGUUACCUAUUGCAUACAGUAGAUGCUGAGGUAGAGGGCUUGCCAGAGGGCGAGUUUUCUACUGAGGAAGUG
rnacentral:misc_RNA from 1 species